rnacentral:rRNA from 1 species
AUGUUGAGGAAUUAUGAGGAGGCAUCCGGCCAACGCGUCAACUUGCAGAAGUCCUCUCUUUUCUUCGGGAAGGGGCACCAAGAGGAGAACAAGACGGAGUUAAAGGACACUUUGGGGGUCCAAUCUGAGGCUUUGAGUGAGAAAUAUCUUGGACUUCCAACACUGGUUGGUCAAUCCAAAGAGGUAACUUUUAAAUAUGUCACAGAAAGUGCGAAAGGUAAAGUGAGCAGUUUGAAGGGGCAAUGGCUCUAA